rnacentral:rRNA from 1 species
GACGAACGCUGGCGGCGUGCUUAACACAUGCAAGUCGAACGGAAAGGCCCUGCUUUUGUGGGGUGCUCGAGUGGCGAACGGGUGAGUAACACGUGAGUAACCUGCCCUUGACUUUGGGAUAACUUCAGGAAACUGGGGCUAAUACCGGAUAGGAGCUCCUGCUGCAUGGUGGGGGUUGGAAAGUUUCGGCGGUUGGGGAUGGACUCGCGGCUUAUCAGCUUGUUGGUGGGGUAGUGGCUUACCAAGGCUUUGACGGGUAGCCGGCCUGAGAGGGUGACCGGCCACAUUGGGACUGAGAUACGGCCCAGACUCCUACGGGACGCAGCGGUGGGGAAUAUUGCACAGUGGGCGGAAGCCUGAUGCAGCAACGCCGCGUGCGGGAUGACGGCCUUCGGGUUGUAAACCGCUUUCGCCUGUGACGAAGCGUGAGUGACGGUAAUGGGUAAAGAAGCACCGGCUAACUACGUG